GGCAGUGUACCAUAGUGGUAAAGAGUAGGACCCAUAACCAAAAGGUUGCUGGUUCAAUUCCCCACUGUGG